rnacentral:sRNA from 1 species
ACGGUUUGCCGAGGACCUCCUCCUCCCAAUCCUCGGCGAAAAGAGGCCUGCACCUCCUCCCAAAUAGCAGGCUUCGAACUCACGGCGCUCGUCGGCACCUCCUCCCGCCGAUGAGCGCCGACA